rnacentral:rRNA from 1 species
UGGACUUCGGCUAGUGGCGCACGGGUGCGUACGCGUGGGAACCUGCCUUUAGGUUCGGAAUAACUCAGAGAAAUUUGAGCUAAUACCGGAUAAUGUCUUCGGACCAAAGAUUUAUCGCCUUUAGAUGGGCCCGCGUUAGAUUAGAUAGUUGGUGGGGUAACGGCCUACCAAGUCGACGAUCUAUAGCUGGUCUGAGAGGAUGAUCAGCCACACUGGGACUGAGACACGGCCCAGACUCCUACGGGAGGCAGCAGUGGGGAAUAUUGGACAAUGGGCGAAAGCCUGAUCCAGCAAUGCCGCGUGAGUGAUGAAGGCCUUAGGGUUGUAAAGCUCUUUUACUAGGGAUGAUAAUGACAGUACCUAGAGAAUAAGCUCCGGCUAACUCCGUGCCAGCAGCCGCGGUAAUACGGAGGGAGCUAGCGUUGUUCGGAAUUACUGGGCGUAAAGCGCGCGUAGGCGGCAUAUCAAGUCAGGGGUGAAAUCCCGGGGCUCAACCCCGGAACUGCCCUUGAAACUGGUACGCUAGAAUACUGGAGAGGUGAGUGGAAUUCCGAGUGUAGAGGUGAAAUUCGUAGAUAUUCGGAAGAACACCAGUGGCGAAGGCGACUCACUGGACAGUUAUUGACGCUGAGGUGCGAAAGCGUGGGGAG